rnacentral:rRNA from 1 species
GACGAACGCUGGCGGCGUGCUUAACACAUGCAAGUCGAACGGAAAGGCCCUGCUUUUGUGGGGUGCUCGAGUGGCGAACGGGUGAGUAACACGUGAGUAACCUGCCCUUGACUUUGGGAUAACUUCAGGAAACUGGGGCUAAUACCGGAUAGGAGCUCCUGCUGCAUGGUGGGGGUUGGAAAGUUUCGGCGGUUGGGGAUGGACUCGCGGCUUAUCAGCUUGUUGGUGGGGUAGUGGCUUACCAAGGCUUUGACGGGUAGCCGGCCUGAGAGGGUGACCGGCCACAUUGGGACUGAGAUACGGCCCAGACUCCUACGGGAGGCAGCAGUGGGGAAUAUUGCACAAUGGGCGGAAGCCUGAUGCAGCAACGUCGCGUGCGGGAUGACGGCCUUCGGGUUGUAAACCGCUUUCGCAUGUGACGAAGCGUGAGUGACGGUAAUGGGUAAAGAAGCACCGGCUAACUACGUG